GAAAAUUUGUAUCACAAAAUAUAUUACAAAAUAGAGUUAAAAUACCAAAGGUUAAGAAAAGAAAAACAAGAACGAGAUCCUUGAGAGACAGAAAGCAUACUCAGAAAAGAAAAAAAAAUGCAUUUGACAUAACAAAUAUUAAUGCGGGAUCGAAACUAAUUCCCGCCGCGUAAAUUAUAUCCAAAGUGAAAUGACUGUAGAUAUUAUUGUAUGAACCCAAAUGAUGAGCGGACGGAUCAUCUCGGCUGUUGACGCGGAUCAAGAAAAUAUAUACUUUAUAUGGCCUUCUUCUGCCUGUUAGAUACAUUUCGUGCCGGCACAAAAUUUAAAAAAAUAAAAUAUUGAAGAGUAUACAAGACAGCGAGUCACCUUGUCUGAGGGCACACUUGGUAGUAAACGUUUCGGAUUCGCCACAUCCUACCUUGACAGAGCUGAUGGUGUUGCUCAAUGUCAUUCUGCAAAGUCUAGUCAGCUUUGCUGGUAUACCAAGCUCAGACAUGGCGGCAUAUAGGCGAUCUCGCCGCGGGCUAUCAAAUGCGGCUUUGUAGUCGACGAAGAGAUGGUACGUGUCGAUCUGGUUUUCGUAAGACUUCUCCAGGAUUUGGCGCAAGGUGAAAAUCUGGUCAACAGUGGACUUGCCAGGCCUGAACCCGCACUGAAAAGGUCCAAUCAGUGCUUCAGCAUGGGUUUUAGUCUUUCACACAAUACGCUCGUUAGGACCUUGUAUGCAAUUGGAAGAAGACUAAUUCCGCGGUAGUUGGUGAGCACCGUGGCAUCACCCUUCUUCAGGAUGGGACAGAUCAUGCUGAGGUUCCAAUCUUCGGGCAUGCUCUCCGUGAGCCAUAUCUUACUGAUUAGUUGGU